rnacentral:rRNA from 1 species
GACGGAGGCUUCCCUCGUUCUCCGUCCUUCUUGGGCGUAAAGCGUCCGCAGGUGGCAGUUCAAGUCUGCUGUCAAAGACCGGGGCUCAACCUCGGAAAGGCAGUGGAAACUGAACAGCUAGAGUAUGGUAGGGGCAAAGGGAAUUCCUGGUGUAGCGGUGAAAUGCGUAGAGAUCAGGAAGAACAUCGGUGGCGAAGGCGCUUUGCUGGACCAUAACUGACACUCAGGGACGAAAGCUAGGGGAGCGAAUGGG